GGAUAGCUAUCCGGAGACGGAGAGAUAGUGGCGAUAUACUUUUCGCACGGGUUGAUAGCUGGUUGCCCUAGAAAUAUAUCUAAGUAUAGCUUUUUGUAGGAUGCACUCUAAGGGUAAGGGUUUUUAAGUGUUGGUAAUUUUUACUAAUAUUUAAGGUUUUAGAAGGUAAGUGUUUUUUUUAAAAAGUUGGCCUUUUCAGGCUAAGCUGAGAGGGUGAUUGUAAAAGGGCUGUGGCGAAGCUAAAGAAUUUGAAGUGGGCUUGAAGGAGCCAUCUUUUUGGAGUGGGUUAUACCUCAAGGGUUUUUAGCAGGCAUAAAUAGAAGUUUUUCUACCCUUUUUUGUCUAUGGGGCUUUUUUAUGAAAUUAAGUUAGUAAAAGUGACAAUGUAGGGAUGAGUAGUCGAGAUAGCGUAGUUGUUUUUUAUUCGGGGGAUAAAACGUGAAGGGUUAAAACCGUACUGGUAAACAAAGUUAAAGGAACUCGGCAAGAAAGAGGACCGCCUGUUUAACAAAAACAUGGCUUUCUGGAUAAUAUGGGGGGUCGUGCCUUCCCGGUGAGCUU
rnacentral:rRNA from 1 species